rnacentral:piRNA from 1 species
UGGGUAUACACCACAGGGUGCUUUUUGUGU